rnacentral:rRNA from 1 species
GACGAACGCUGGCGGCGUGCCUAAUACAUCCAAGUCGAGCGGACUGAAUGGGAGCUUGCUCUUGUUCGGUCAGCGGCGGACGGGUGAGUAACACGUGGGCAACCUGCCCGCAAGACCGGGAUAACUCCGGGAAACCGGAGCUAAUACCGGAUAACACCGAAGACCGCAUGGUCUUUGGUUGAAAGGCGGCGCAAGCUGCCACUUGCGGAUGGGCCCGCGGCGCAUUAGCUAGUUGGUGAGGUAACGGCUCACCAAGGCGACGAUGCGUAGCCGGCCUGAGAGGGUGACCGGCCACACUGGGACUGAGACACGGCCCAGACUCCUACGGGAGGCAGCAGUAGGGAAUCUUCCGCAAUGGGCGAAAGCCUGACGGAGCGACGCCGCGUGAGCGAAGAAGGCCUUCGGGUCGUAAAGCUCUGUUGUGAGGGACGAAGGAGCGCCGUUUGAAGAAGGCGGCGCGGUGACGGUACCUCACGAGGAAGCCCCGGCUAACUACGUG